UGGGGUGUGGCCCGCCUCUGUUGGGUCCCUGCCGCAGCUCCCCGGACGCCCGGCAGGGCUCCCUGGGACAGAUAAGAACCGUGUUGUUAGCACAGCUGUUUCUGCGGCACCAGCUUGUUUUCAAACCUACGGAAACUUGGGUGCGGAAGUGUGGUACAUCCACCCGACUUCAGAGUUGGGCUUGGUUCCAAAUCAAAGGAAAUUUAGUCAGUUUUCCCAGACAUAGGGACAAAAAUAGAGUCGACAGGAACCUCAGAGGGUCUGCUGGGGUGCCAGGGUUACACCGAGAAAAACCAACUGGAUCUUUGGUCUCAGUGCCGUCAAAUGCCCUGUUGGCGCAUGAAGUUUCGGCUUCCACAACCACCCUGGCAUCUGCACACAGGUUCUUCGGAGACUGCUCGGAAGGUGAUGUCUCACACGGCGGUCCUGUGCCUUCUGUGAACAGUGCUGCAGGUUCUGGGUGUUUUCUGAGCCUCUUUGGGGUGCAUGGGGUUCCGAUACACUAUCCACAAGGUCUGGAUGUGUCUGUUGAGCCCUGGACCUUCAUUUCCAGCUUCUUGCCAGAUACUUCCACCUGGAUGCCCCGCACUAAGCCAGUCUGCUCUUCCCGCAACCGGCUUCUCCGGAUUUCCUGUCUCAGUGUGCGAACCUCGGGAUGUCCUGGGAUUUGAGGUUGAUGGCAGCGGCCUCUGGAAGGUGCUUUGAUGUUCUUCUACCCAGAGACUGUCGUAGAGCCUUUUCAUGCAGAAAGUCUAGAAUGGCUUCGAGUUGGCGUCUGCCUGUCCUGUAAGCGAGGAGCUGAUGGGCAAGAAUGCUCUGAGGUCUGGAAUUGCUGUGUCUGCUGUCCCAUGACUCUCUUCUCUGGAUGGCCAUGCUCAUUGCUGCCUCCCGCCCUGUGGCCAUCACUCAGGUUGGUACGUUAGAGACGACAGCUUGACUCCUGAGUCUCCGGAUGAAGAAGCAUCAGCCUCAUCUACCCGUGGAGACAACUACCCUUCACCCUGAAGUAGAAGUCACUGGGCGGAAUCGGAUCUCUCGGACUCCGAGCUUGGAGCUGUGCAGGGAUGGGGCUUCAGGAUCGUCUCCCUGGGGACGGGGGAGUUUGUCAUCGGAGAUGAAUUCUUGCACCAGAAUGCAACGCAAAGUCAAGUCUCAGCAAAACGUACCAGAUUUCCCCCUGAAGACAGUGUGUGUGAAAAAUGCAAACAACUAGAAUUCUCAUAGAGUUCCGCGUCUAGUGGGGUAAUUACAUC